rnacentral:rRNA from 1 species
GACGAACGCUGGCGGCGUGCCUAAUACAUGCAAGUAGAACGCUGAAGGAGGAGCUUGCUCUUCUGGAUGAGUUGCGAACGGGUGAGUAACGCGUAGGUAACCUGCCUGGUAGCGGGGGAUAACUAUUGGAAACGAUAGCUAAUACCGCAUAAGAGUAGAUGUUGCAUGACAUUUACUUAAAAGGUGCAAUUGCAUCACUACCAGAUGGACCUGCGUUGUAUUAGCUAGUUGGUGGGGUAACGGCUUACCAAGGCGACGAUACAUAGCCGACCUGAGAGGGGGAUCGGCCACACUGGGACUGAGACACGGCCCAGACUCCUACGGGAGGCAGCAGUAGGGAAUCCUCGGCAAUGGACGGAAGUCUGACCGAGCAACGCCGCGUGAGUGAAGAAGGUUUUCGGAUCGUAAAGCUCUGUUGUAAGAGAAGAACGAGUGUGAGAGUGGAAAGUUCACACUGUGACGGUAUCUUACCAGAAAGGGACGGCUAACUACGUG